UACCAGCACUGCGAGUGGUCGGGACGUUUAUUGGGCUUAAAGCAUCCGUAGCCGGUUCUUUAAGUCUUCCGUUAAAUCCAACUGCUUAACAGGUGGGCUGCGGAAGAUACUAUAGAGCUAGGAGGCGGGAGAGGCAAGCGGUACUCGAUGGGUAGGGGUAAAAUCCGUUGAUCCAUUGAAGACCACCAGUGGCGAAGGCGGCUUGCCAGAACGCGCUCGACGGUGAGGGAUGAAAGCUGGGGGAGCAAACCGG
rnacentral:rRNA from 1 species